UUAACUGUGACAUUGGUAACUAUUAAACAAACAAAUUGGUUAUCUAACAACUAAUAUCAUUGGUUAAGAACAAAUUGGUUGAUUUAACAAAGAUAUUGGUUAACUUUAAUAACAGAUUGGUUGAAAAAUGACUAAUAUCAUUGGUUAAGCAAAUGUUAACUAAGAGAUUGGUAACUGACGCAGGUCUGACGCUCAACGUCAAGUACGUAACUCUGCUUCUCAAUUUUCUGACAAAGCCGCCAUCUUGGUGCUGCAGGAAAGCCGUUUGAGAUAUUGGUGGAAUUCAAACACUUUGUGAGAUGACAGAAUAUUGCUGAAGGAUCCUACAUGGAAGCUGGCUGAUUACACAGAGUGAUUCCUCUGGUGUGGUGUACCUCAGAGAAAUAAACACUGUUGCAAGAGCUGAGAAGAUGGCCAAGAUAUCCUUAUUGCUGGAUGGUAGCUCUGGUCGUAGUGGACCAUAUCUGCAAAUGCUUCUGAACAUUGACAGAAUUUCUAAAGAUGACUGAGAAUAUUACUGAAGGAUCCUACAUGGAAGCUGUCUGAUUACACUGAGUGAUUCCUCUGGUGUGGUGUACCUCAGAGAAAAUAAACACUGUUGCAAGAGCUGAGAAGAUAUCCUUAUUGCUGGAUGGUUGCUCUCUGGUCGUACUUGAGCCCCCUGGACCAUAUCUGCAAAUGCUUCUGAACAUUGACAGAAUUUCUAAAGGAUCGCUGAGGACUCCCCCUCCAUGCGUGACAUCUUUGAGAAAUUUCCACGCUUUCUGGAGAUGCCAAGUUUGACUGGAACCAACUUUGCAUCCCUCGGCACUGACACUGAGAAGGUUUCAAGGACCCCACUACUAGGAGGCGAGAGUUUGACACGGCAGUGUCAUCACUGCCAUGGAUGACAAUGUAACCAUUCCUGUUGCUGAUUGCCUGACUUGCGCAGUGACAAGCUUUUGAUGCUCUGCUGGGUGUGUAACUUGGCAUAUCCACCACAGUUUAACUCUGUUUUUGCCUCUUUUGAAUAUGUGUACGAUAUAACCAUCUCAACCAAAAAGUGGGCCAAGGUACUGGAACAUUUCUCACUUCAAGUUGCUCUGUAGUCACUGGACAUUUUUUAAAACAUCUACGCAAACACCACCACUCCACACCAUGUGUAUUUUAAUUACUUCUGAUUCCACUGACAUGCAGACUACAUCCUAUGCAGAUUCAGGUAAUUUACCUGGUACUGGAGAAACAGCAUUGUAUGCCAUUCUAAGUGAUACUUGCCUCCUUGUUUUGCAAAAAUGUACUGUUCUUUGAAUAUAACUUAAAGUAAGAUCAUGUUGACUCUGAGGUUUUCUCCGGUUGUCAAGCACAACCUUAACGUUUUGUAAGUAAGUAAUAGUCACAGGAUAUGCAUGCAUUUGUAAUUUGAAUUUUCGUCGAAAACGGCUCACCAAGCAUAAAAUGUUACCUCUGCUUUUGAUUUUUCUUUUUUUUUUUAAAUGUCCCUUAAUACCAGCCUGUCUUUUUGUUGUGUCCACACAACUUUACCAUCAUCAGUGUUGGGAAGGAACAGAUUGCUGUAAGUUACUGUAUCCCCAUCCUUUCAGAUCAGUGCUUUAAAGCCUUUUGAAAUUAAAUUGUUAAUAAACUUUGUGAAAACAAA